ACCCGGGAGGAGAACUCCUCGCCCAACCUCUACCCUCAUGAAGAGAGGCUCAGAGGGCUGAGAAAGCCCUGGGACAGUGGCAAGGCAGGGCCAGGGGAAGCAGCUUUGCCGCCAGGGCCCGGCUCCUGUUUGCCUUGUGCCCGGUCCUUAGCCUGAAGGUGGUGGGCUUCAGCCAGAAGCCCCUGGCGGAAGCGGUGCCCGCGUGCGGUUCAGAGUGUGGGUGUGCAGGUCUAUGGACGACCCAAAAGGGGUGCCCCUGCCCGGUAACCUAGCGUGAGGGUGAGGGUGGGGAGGGCGGCGGGCACGCAGCACGGCUUGGCUGCUCAGGGCAGGCUCCGCCCCCAGGGGCGCGGGUUUAAAAGGAGCGAAGGCAGCCCGGGAGCCGAGCGGCCGGGAAGCGCGCCGGCACGGAGCUGCUGCCCUGGCACAGCCAUGGCCCGGCGGGUGGGGGGUGCUCGGCUGCUCAGCAGCCUACUGCUCUUCGCCCUGCUCGCUGCCGAUGUCGCCCCGCUCAGCUGGGAUCUCCCGGAGCCCCGCAACCGAGCCGGCAAGAUCCGAGUGCACCCGCGGGGCAACCUCUGGGCCACCGGAAAAGCUGAGGGAGCAGGCUUUGCCACCACCCAGACACCUUUGUGGCUCCUUGGUGAGGUGGAAGGACCAAGAACAGGAAGGUCACUUCAUGGGCAAGAAGAGUCUGGAGCCUCCCAGCCCAUCCCCAUUGGGGACAGCUCCCCACACCUCCCUGAGGCACCAGAGACUGCAGCUGAGUCAUGAUCUGCUCAGGAUCCUCCUGCUAAAGAAGGCUCUGGGCGUGAGCCUCAGCCACCCCGCACCCCACAUCUAGGAGGCUGCUGGUACAAAUAGUGCUGAAAUGAUACCAAUAAUGGGACAGACACAACAGCGUGGCUUAGAUUGUGCCCACCCAGGGAAGGUGCUGAAUGGGACCCUGGUGAUGGCCCCAUCUGGAUGUAAAUCCUGAGCCCAAUAUCUGUUACUCCAUUACUGUGAUUUCUGGUUGGGUCACCAGAAAUAUCGCUGAUGCAGACACAGAUUAUGUUCCUGCUGUAUUUCCUGCUUCCAUGUUGAAUUUGUGAAUAAAACCUUGCUCUUUACAUAUAA